rnacentral:lncRNA from 10 species
AUUUGAAGUGGGUAAAAAUCUGUAAAGCCACGUUACCAUUAGCACGCAGAGAGCCUUUUCUGGAGAUUGAAAGGAAGUUGAAGAGCUGGGUUAGCUAUCAUCGUAAGCUAUCAUCGUUAGUGAUGGCGUAAACCUGGAGUGAUUGGACUUCAGCUGAUAGUGUUAUUGAGGAUCACUUGUACAUUAUGAGUUGCUUCUCUCUUGCUGCUGUCAAGAUUCUCUGUCUUUCAACAGUUUGAUUAUAAUGUGUCUCAGUAAGCCAGAGAAUAUCAUCUAAAUAUUGACAUUUCAAGAAACCGGAUGUAAAGGAAACCAAAGUGAGAUAUGAAACAAUCCAGUGAGGAGAAUAAGAAACCUGCCUAAAAAUGAGUUUUGAAGAGCUUGUUUCAGGCAAGACAUCAGAGAGAAACGGUGUGUGUUGUUGGCUUUAUCUGUCUUGACUCUGCAAGCACAUCUACCCGUUACCUGUGGCUUCUCCCUCCCUCAGGGCUAUGUGGAUGUGAGAGAGGUGACAGGGUGUAGAUGAAGGGGUUG